rnacentral:rRNA from 1 species
GGUGAACGCUGGCGGCGCGCCUUACGCAUGCAAGUCGUGCGGGGCGCGGGCUUCGGCCUGCGCUCAGCGGCAGACGGCUGAGUAACACGUAGGUAACCUGCCCGGAAGUGGGGGAUAACCCGGGGAAACCCGGGCUAAUACCGCAUGUGGUCCGGGGGGGAAGGGCCCCUGGACUAAAGCCCUCGCGGGCGCUUCCGGAGGGGCCUGCGGCCUAUCAGGUAGUUGGUGGGGUAACGGCCCACCAAGCCGACGACGGGUAGCCGGUGUGAGAGCACGA